rnacentral:rRNA from 1 species
CCUACGGGAGGCAGCAGUGGGGAAUUUUGGACAAUGGGCGAAAGCCUGAUCCAGCAAUGCCGCGUGAGUGAAGAAGGCCUUCGGGUUGUAAAGCUCUUUUGUCAGGGAAGAAACGGUGAAAGCUAAUAUCUUUUGCUAAUGACGGUACCUGAAGAAUAAGCACCGGCUAACUACGUGCCAGCAGCCGCGGUAAUACGUAGGGUGCAAGCGUUAAUCGGAAUUACUGGGCGUAAAGCGUGCGCAGGCGGUUUUGUAAGUCUGAUGUGAAAUCCCCGGGCUCAACCUGGGAAUUGCAUUGGAGACUGCAAGGCUAGAAUCUGGCAGAGGGGGGUAGAAUUCCACGUGUAGCAGUGAAAUGCGUAGAUAUGUGGAGGAACACCGAUGGCGAAGGCAGCCCCCUGGGUCAAGAUUGACGCUCAUGCACGAAAGCGUGGGGAGCAAACAGGAUUAGAUACCCUGGUAGUCCACGCCCUAAACGAUGUCUACUAGUUGUCGGGUCUUAAUUGACUUGGUAACGCAGCUAACGCGUGAAGUAGACCGCCUGGGGAGUACGGUCGCAAGAUUAAAACUCAAAGGAAUUGACCGGNNGAGAGAGCGACGACGACGACGAGGGAGAGG